UGGCUGCCUCCCGUGGGUCGCUUCGCCUCGCCGCUGCCCAUCUGUAUUCGCUGAGGUGGUGCAGUGUCAGUGGAGGAAGCGUCUCGCGCACAUCUGAAGUGUGGCGCUGAGCCGUGCCGAACACGCGAGUCUAUUGCGAGUGUGUAACACAGGUAAACACAUGAUGCUCGGAACAGAGACUCGCGCAGGUGUUUAAGUGAGAGCGCAGGAACUGAACUGAAGUGAGUGUCAAGGAGAAUGAUGCUGUGAUGUUGUUGACCCCAUGUUGCUGAGAUCACUUCCUGGACACCUCAGCACUGCUUUCCCCCGCUCAGCAGUCUUUUGAAGUGAUGUGCUGAGUACUGAGGCGUUCCAAGGAGUGUGAAGUGCCAAGGUGCAUCAUACAGGCGUGACAGCACCUGGACAUACCUGGAUUGAUUGGACUUGCUUACCUGGUGAAAAGUGCCCGGAGGAGAGUGAGAGGACACCACGCACGUCACCACAGUCAUCACCACUACCAUCUUCCCCUCUUCUUCCUUCUUCUCCUCCUCCUUCAGACUCUUCUCCUCUCCUUCAAGUCCUUAUCCUCUUCUCUUGUUUAUUUUGUUUCUGUUGUUCUGCUGAGUUAUCCUUUAGCUUCAUCUGUGUGUGUUCUGUUUUAUCAUCUAGUUUUUCUCUUUCUCUUUUUAUCCUGAGUCUGUUUCAUUGUUCUCAGAUAAUCUUUUAGUGUUUGUUUAUUCUAUCUCUCUUAUCACCUGGUUUAUCUUUCCCUCUUUCUCUUUACAUGUUAUUGAAUUAUCCUGCCCUCCUUCCUUCCCUCUGCCAAAGCUUUCUCCCCUUGUAGUGAGUGACCUGACUUGUGUUCCUAAGUAGGUGGCAGUCCCUCCAUUACCCUCCCCCUCCCAUAGCCCCUCCAAAGCUUCCAUCCCUCACUCACACUCCCUUUCCUCCCUUACCUCACACCGCACACUCCCUCACGCACCUUCCUCCGCCUUCACCACCAAGGACAUUACAGUCUCGAGAACCCAACCUCUCCAGCACAUCCUUAACCCUAAUUCACCAUAUCUCUUUCACACACCACUAUACACCACUACUACUAUUCCCACGCACUGACACCCGGCCUACUCACCUUUCAUUCACUCUACUCCAUCAAGACUGUUUCUACUCCGUCACUCUAUCAGUCCACUCCACGCCACUUUCUCUCUCUCCGGUGUUGUGGUGACGUGCGCAGAAUCAAGACGCUGCAAACAUGAAUGCGCAGGAAACACAUCAUACCCGCGACACAGCUGUGCCGGGCCAGCAGACAGCCAAGCGACAGGAGCCACGUCGACUUAGGAGUGGUGAUGAUGGUGUAAACACGCUAAGGUGACGGGUACUUACAGGUGAGCAUCCUUACCUCCUCGUGGAAGAGUGGAGGGGAUGGCGCCACGUGUUCCCGCAGCUAUUGCAGGGUCUCCUCUUCACAUCAGAGACGCAUCAGGGAGCCGAGGGACUCGGAUCUGUCAGGGCCAAGGGAGCAGUAUUGACGUGGCAGCCAUUGUGAAAGGUUUCUGGGAAAGCAAACCAGCGGAGAUUGCCUUGGAGUAGAUAUUAGCAAGUCGUGAAAGUGAGUAGCAGUGAUGGAGCUUGAUCGACGUUUGAGGCAGGCUUUUGGAUGUGCAGCAGCACACGCCUGCUGAGACACCUGUGACAAGUGCAAGACAUAGAGUGUGGUGAGGAUGGAGGAUGCUGUAAACGUUCCCAGCAUCAUCAAUUCAAAAUUUUUCUGCUGUGAAGGUGUAAGUGGCUUUUGGAUGUCCAGCAGGAUACGUGCCUGUAGCAAGUGCAAGACAGUGUGGUGAAGAUGGGAGACGCAGUAAACAUUCCGAGCACUAUUGGUUUAAAAUUUCUCUUUGUGAAGUGCACAUUGUUUCAAUCAUGGGAUUGUAUGUCAUCAUAUUCAUAGAUUUCAUGACCUGACAAUGUGUUCACCUCUGUCAACAUUAACAAAUGCAAAGUACUUAGCAUAGGUAGAGAAAAUCCACACAAUAGAUACACAAUAAACAAAUCCCUGAUAGGCUCAAAGUAUGAGAAAGAUUUAGAAAUUA
rnacentral:misc_RNA from 1 species